rnacentral:rRNA from 1 species
AACGUAGGAGACAAACGUUAUCCGGAUUUACUGGGCGUAAAGGGCGUGUAGGCGGUUAGUUAAGUCUGGCGUGAAAGCUCUCGGCUAAACCGGGAGAGGUCGUUGGAUACUGGCUGACUAGAGGACGGUAGAGGCGUGUGGAAUUCCGGGUGUAGUGGUGAAAUGCGUAGAGAUCCGGAGGAACACCAGUGGCGAAGGCGACACGCUGGGCCGUACCUGACGCUAAAGCGCGACAGCAUGGGGAGCAAACGGG